GACGAACGCUGGCGGCGUGCUUAACACAUGCAAGUCGAACGGAAAGGCCCUGCUUUUGUGGGGUGCUCGAGUGGCGAACGGGUGAGUAACACGUGAGUAACCUGCCCUUGACUUUGGGAUAACUUCAGGAAACUGGGGCUAAUACCGGAUAGGAGCUCCUGCUGCAUGGUGGGGGUUGGAAAGUUUCGGCGGUUGGGGAUGGACUCGCGGCUUAUCAGCUUGUUGGUGGGGUAGUGGCUUACCAGGGCUUUGACGGGUAGCCGGCCUGGGAGGGUGACCGGCACCAUGGGGACGGGGUUACGGCCCAGACUCUUAGGGGAGCAGCAGUGGGGAAUAUUGCACAAUGGGCGGAAGCCUGAUGCAGCAACGCCGCGUGCGGGAUGACGGCCUUCGGGUUGUAAACCGCUUUCGCCUGUGACGAAGCGUGAGUGACGGUAAUGGGUAAAGAAGCACCGGCUAACUACGUG
rnacentral:rRNA from 1 species